rnacentral:rRNA from 1 species
CUUUGGCCUCAAAUCAGGUAGGACUACCCGCUGAACUUAAGCAUAUCAAUAAGCGGAGGAAAAGAAACUAACAAGGAUUCCCCUAGUAACGGCGAGUGAAGAGGGAAGAGCUCAAAUUUGAAAUCUGGCGGUCUCAGGCCGUCCGAGUUGUAAUCUAUAGAGGUGUUUUCCGUGCCGGACCGUGUACAAGUCCCUUGGAACAGGGCGUCAUAGAGGGUGAGAAUCCCGUCCAUGACACGGACUCCCGGUGCUCUGUGAUACACCUUCAAAGAGUCGAGUUGUUUGGGAAUGCAGCUCAAAAUGGGUGGUAAAUUCCAUCUAAAGCUAAAUACAGGCGAGAGACCGAUAGCGAACAAGUACCGUGAGGGAAAGAUGAAAAGAACUUUGGAAAGAGAGUUAAACAGUACGUGAAAUUGUUGAAAGGGAAACGCUUGAAGUCAGUCGCGUCUGCCGGGACUCAGCCUUGCUUUUGCUUGGUGCACUUCUCGGUGGAUGGGCCAUCAUCGAUUUUGAUCGCCGGAAAAGGGCGGGAGGAAUGUGGCAGCUUGCUGUGUUAUAGCCUCUCGUCGUACACGGUGGUUGGGAUCGAGAGAUUGCAGCACGCCUUUGGUCGGGGUUCGCCCACGCCACGUGCUUAGGAUGCUGGCGUAAUGGCUUUAAACGACCCGUCUUGAAAC